GAUCCUGGCUCAGGAUGAACGCUAGCUACAGGCUUAACACAUGCAAGUCGAGGGGCAGCAUUCCAGUUUGCUUGCAAACUGGAGAUGGCGACCGGCGCACGGGUGAGUAACACGUAUCCAACCUGCCGAUAACUCGGGGAUAGCCUUUCGAAAGAAAGAUUAAUACCCGAUGGCAUAAUAGAACCGCAUGGUUUGAUUAUUAAAGAAUUUCGGUUAUCGAUGGGGAUGCGUUCCAUUAGGCUAGG
rnacentral:rRNA from 1 species